rnacentral:rRNA from 1 species
CAAUAGCGUAUAUUAAACUUGUUGCAGUUAAAAAGCUCGUAGUUGAAUUUCUGCGUUAUCGAGUUAUUGACUCUUGUCUUUAAUCGAUUUCGCUUUUGGGAUUUAUCCCUUUUUACUUUGAGAAAAUUAGAGUGUUUCGAAGCAAGACUUUUGUCUUGAAUACUUCAGCAAUGGAAUAAUAGAGUAGGACUUUGGUUCUAUUUUGUUGGUUUUUGAACCUUAGUAAUGGUUAAUAGGAACGGUUGGGGGCAUUCGUAUUUAACUGUCAGUAGGUGAAAAUUCUUAGAUUUGUUGAAAGACGAACUACUGCGAAAAGCGAUUUGCCAAAG